UAAAUAUUUUAUUAACUAACAAUAAGAAAUAUAAUUUAUAUUUAUAUUCAAGGAAAUUCAGUUACAAGACAUGUUAAAUUGAGAGAAAAAUUUAGAUGCAUAUGCAUUACAAAAAAUAUCAAUAUACUGAUUUAUUAUAUUGAUAUUAUUAUUCUCAGUAUCUAAUGCGCAGUAACAGAAAUAAACAAUAUUUAUGAUUCAUAUGAUAUCAAUUUCCCAAAAUAUGUUUCAUUCGUUGCACUUUCUGUACAUACAAGUGCAGAAAGGUCAUCUAUAUACGAAUCAUUCGAAUAAACAUUGUUCCAUAUGGCAUAUGUAUCGUGCUAGACGUUCUGCGGGAAUGUGUAAAAUCUGCACUGAUCUGCAGUGUUUGUCAUAAUUCGCGAGGUGCAAAUUGAAAAUUGAUGGCAACGAUAUGUUCUCGAUACGUAUAGAGAAAUUUAUCCGAGCACACAAUAUCCUUUCUUUCUCGCUUCGUUUAUCUUCAUUCUACUUAACCUAACUUAUACUAUAUGAUUAAGACAGUGCCGUAGGGUGAGGCUGAUGAGGCAGAAGGCACUUUCAUCUCUCCUCCUGCCGAAGUACAAAAAGAAAAAUACGAAUAAAACACGGUAUCCAAACACUUAAAGUAUUUGUUGUAAAUUUUAUCUACCUACAGCAGAAAGAAAGGCUACAGACUUGACGUGGCAGGAUAUGUAACGUUUUGUUAGGAGAGACAAAAUUUAUUAGUAAAGUGAUUACAGAUCGAUGGUAGACUUUAACUUUUUAUUUCUUGCAUAAUUUAAGAGAUUUCACUUUUUCUCUACCGCUGAUUUGCUAUCAGAUUACGUCGGAAAGUCAGCAAGACAAGCUUGACAAGCUUCGACUGCCAAGUUGAUUUCAAGCAUUAAACUUAAUAAAUCUAAUGUAUUAUUAUUUUAGUACAUUAGUUGAUUUUUUAAUAUUUUAUAUAAUUGUUUUUUUAAUAUCUUAAAUGUUUAAAUACUAGUAAAAUUAUUCUCUUAAUUACGAGUAAAUAAACCCAUAGGGUGACAGUUUUAUUAGUAUAGAUGAUGAAUCUUUGGAAAUUUAUGCACCAUCCAGAUUAUCAAAGGCAGUCUAAGUGUUAAAGUAAAUAAUUGAUAAUAUAUAUGUAUGUCUUAGAACAUAUUAAUAUAUAUGUAUGUUAACAAUUUCUGAAUUUGCUGCCAAUCUGCUAUAUGGUUUGCUAAAGUACACUAAAGUACACAUGCUCAGGUAAAUCUUGCUGUGUAUUUAUAUUGCUUGCUGGAUAGUUCUUGAUGCAAUUCACUUUUAGACUGCAAGUACAAUUGUGAUCAAAUACAAACCAGAUGGCUCGGAACGUUCUUAGAUGUAUCAUUGUACCAUCAAGAAAUAUUUUCCAAAACAGAUGGUUGGAAAGUACCGUAUCUAUCAAUAGAAUCGCUAGACAGAUAUCAACAGUUGAUGUUAAGGAAAUUGAACAUCUCUCUAGGUUCAGAAAUGAUUGGUGGGACGAGAAUGGCCAAAUGUCUGAACUUCAUUUAUACGCUUCGUUUAGAAUAAAGUUUGUGAGAGACGGAUUGGCAAACGUCGGAGUCCAAAUGCAGAAUCCAGCCCUUCCAUUGGAAGGAGUUAAGAUCGUGGAUAUUGGCUGUGGCGGAGGUAUAUUGACUGAGCGUUUAGCUAGAAUAGGGGCGCAAGUAACCGGAAUAGAUGCAUCGGCGGAAUUGAUAAAUGUUGCUAAAGAACAUGCAAAGUUGGAUCCCAAUAUAUCAGAGAGAUUAAAUUACAUUCUGACAACUGUGGAAGAUUUCUCUCAAAAGGAGAAAGAAUCUUACGAUACUGCCGUAAUUUCCGAGGUCUUGGAGCAUGUAACGGAUCCGCAACUAUUUUUAAAGGAAUGCGUGAAAAUGGUGAAACCUGGUGGAUCGAUUUUUAUAACAACAGAAAAUAAAACUCUAGCAUCUUGGUUGAUGCUUAUUGUAGCAGCGGAAUACAUUUUCAGAAGAAUACCUGUUGGUACUCAUGAGUGGAAUAAAUUUAUCGCUCCACAGGAAGUUCAACGUAUAUUGGACGAUUAUGGAUGCAGAACGAGAUUAAUUCAUGGGGUAAAACUUAAUCCACUGUUAAAGCAGUGGUCUUGGUCGUCGUGUACAGCAAUUUUUUAUGGGCUUCAUGCAAUCAAGCAAAAAGAAGUUGGCGCGUAGUUUUCAGAAUGUGCUCUCUUGUCACUAAAUGCAAAUUACUAUAUAUUUUUAUCGUUCAUCGGUUGUAAUAUAAUUAAUAUUAUGCUAAGGAUUUUCUUACAAUAUGUUACACUUGUACACAACUAGAAAAUCUAGAGAAUAUAAGGAAUAUAGGAACAUACAGAUGUUCUAUGAAAUAAUGUGUUUAAAUAAAAUUGAAGAUUUGUUAUAGGAAAUUAGUUUCAAAUUUUCAGAAAUUUUCAAGUUGUCGAAAUAAGUGCCGAACACACUUUAUUUCGUUAAUAAUUGCUUAUAAAUUAAAUAUAAUUGUAAAUUUUAAACUGUUGAACGUUUACCUACAAUUUGCGUUAAAACUUCCCGCAGGAUUUGAUACACGUUAAUAUUUUUAUUUAAAUAAUUUGUGUUCACAAUCCGAUUAAUUUAAAAUUAUUUAUUUUAGUUGAAAUACAAAAGUAACAAAAAAAAAGAAACACAAGAUACGAAAAUUUAAGGAUAUAAAUAGAUUUACAUUUAACAGAUUUAACUCAAUGGCAAUAUCACACAUAUUUGAAUAUGUGAAUGAUUUAAAUUGCUCAGUGUAUUUUAGAUAAAAUACAUGAACGCUUUAGUAUCAAUUUUAUACAAUACUGAACAGUUUGAUUAAGUGUAUAAACACAUCUCAAGUUUAACUUUUUGAUAUAAAUUUAAAAAAAUUUUUUUCUAAUUUUUUAAAUAAUAUUUUUCAAUUUUACUUAAUUUAAAAAGAAUUUUCUAAAAUUUGCUGCUCUAGAUUAAACCGAUUAGUACAGUUAAUUAAUAUAGUAACCGAUAAUUGUUUAGCUAGAUUGAUUACUUAUUACAGACAAUUAGAAGUACAUCUAUCAAUAAUCACUAGACCAAUGUCGAUGAUAGAUUCUAAACAAAUUGAACAUUAUUAUACUUUGAAGAAUAAUUGGUGGAACAAGACUGCCCGGUAGCUGACCUUUUAUUCACAUUGAGAGUACAAUUUGUGAUAGAUAAACUGACAGAUACUGAAGUCAAAAUGCAGAAUCUAACUCUUUCAUUGGAACAUGGAGGUAAGACAUAACUUCUUACUUCCAUGAAUUUGAAGGAGUCAAGAUUGUGAAUGGACGCAUCAGCGGAAUUAAUAGACAUUGCUAAUUAAAGAACUGGAUCCUAAUAUAUUAGAGAGAGAGAGAGAGAGUCAAUUAUAUUCAUACGACCGUGGACUUUUUCCAAAAGGAGGAGGAAUCGUGCGACGCUGUUAUUGUUUCUGAGGUUUUGGAGCAUGUAGCAAAUCUAUAACUAUUUUUAAAAGGAUGUGUGAAAAUUCUGAAAGCAGGCGGAUCGAUUUUUAUAACGACGAUGGCUGCGAAACGAGAUUAAUACGUGGCAUGAACUAUAAUGUACUGACAAAACAAUGGUCUUAGUCGUCAUUUACUUCUACGUUUUAUGCACUUCAUGCAGUCAACAAAGGAAAACAGAUAUAGUUAAAUCUUUUAAAAGUAUAUUUCAAUUUAUUUUCAAUUAUUUUAUAAUUAUAAUACAUGUUAACAACUCUUAAGAUACGACUUAGAAGGAUUUUAAUAUAUGAACUCAAUAAACAGUAUAUGAAAAGAA